rnacentral:miRNA from 1 species
UUCAUUUUGAAAAUAGGCAUUG